rnacentral:lncRNA from 1 species
UAUUGAGAUUUAAAAAAAUUAUGCAUUAUGACCUUAAAUGAAGUUUGAGAUGUUUUUAUAUUUAUUUUUCACAAAUGUGGUGUAGAUUGUGUAGAUCUGUAGGGAAAAAAAUCACAUUUAAUAUCUUUUGACAUUUUUAAGGUAGCAACAUGUGAAGACUGCAAGGGUUGUCACAGACUUUCAUUAGGCACUGGUGCCAAUCAUUUUGGCUGUGACUGUACAUCCUGUAUCGGUGGGUACCUACCAGGCCAUCUUUCUAACGGUUUUGUAAAGUCAAUAAAGAUUAAGCAAAUGUCCGGGUGAGGCAAAACACAAGGGUGAAGAGUUCCAGGGAAGAGUAUGUGAUAUACAGAACACAUAUGGGUUCCAGAUGCCCUCAUUUUCCAGAAGAGCAGCCUCAUGUUUGAGUUAAAUGACAUGGUCAAAAUCAACAAGGUUACGUGUGUUAAAGUAUUUUUUAAAUAACUAUUAAGAAAGGCUAGAUAAAAUCAGACCACAACAAUAAAGCCUUUUUUUUAAACACAAAGAUCACCAUUCCUUUCUGGAUUUGUUGUAGCCUAUAUUUUUGCUUUGUCUGAACUAGAUUGAUAUGUUUUGUGUUUUUUUGUGGAUCCAGGAAGAAAAGCUGCUUCUUCUGCAAAAGCUAAUGGGAGUCUGAAUAAACCAAUGCCCAAUGAUCCACCAAUGGACUGUAUUCCAGUUUAUCCUGGUUACUACAGUAUAGGCAUUGGAUGCAGGAUCUCUAGUUUAGUUGGUAAACAUUGACGCCCAUGUGUGCCUAGCAGGGCGGGUUCUGUCCUGGCCUCCCCAGCACCACUGAUAAUGGUGUGGAUAGACAAUAGGGGGUGAUCAGGGUCACACCCUGGCCUAACCCUGGGAUAGUGGCCAGCUGUGAUGGGGCCAUGAUGUUUACCCACCUGAUCACACUCUGC